CAUCUAGGCGGUCAAUCAAGUCGAAGGUGAAGACUUGUGGCUCAACCAUAAGCUUGCCUACGAAACUGAUUAACUAGAGUACUGGAGAGGUGGACGGAACUACACGAGUAGAGGUGAAAUUCGUAGAUAUGUGUAGGAAUGCCGAUGAUGAAGAUAGUUCACUGGACAGAAACUGACGCUGAAGUGCGAAAGCUAGGGGAGCAAACA
rnacentral:rRNA from 1 species